AUUGAACGCUGGCGGCAGGCCUAACACAUGCAAGUCGAACGGUAACAGGAAACAGCUUGCUGUUUCGCUGACGAGUGGCGGACGGGUGAGUAAUGUCUGGGAAACUGCCUGAUGGAGGGGGAUAACUACUGGAAACGGUAGCUAAUACCGCAUAACGUCGCAAGACCAAAGAGGGGGACCUUCGGGCCUCUUGCCAUAGGAUGUGCCCAGAUGGGAUUAGCUAGUAGGUGGGGUAACGGCUCACCUAGGCGACGAUCCCUAGCUGGUCUGAGAGGAUGACCAGCCACACUGGAACUGAGGCACGGGCCAGACUCCUACGGGAGGCAGCAGUGGGGAAUAUUGCACAAUGGGCGCAAGCCUGAUGCAGCCAUGUCGCGUGUAUGAAGAAGGCCUUCGGGUUGUAAAGUACUUUCAGCGGGGAGGAAGGGAGUAAAGUUAAUACCUUUGCUCAUUGACGUUACCCGCAGAAGAAGCACCGGCUAACUCCGUGCCAGCAGCCGCGGUAA
rnacentral:rRNA from 1 species